UUAAUGGCGGUAUAAAUCAACUGACGUUUCGGCAUUGCUGCCUUCUUCAGGGUGUUUAAGCUGCCACGUAAAAUAACGAGAUCGUUAUUUGCAGUUGUGUGCUGCUUUGGAACUGUUUGCGCGUGCGAAAAAAUGCGCGCGCGUGUCUCGAGAUUUCAUAUAAAUGAGAAAUCGCGAUUUAUUCCCGAGGAGCGAGUGUUUGGAAUUUGAAAAUUUGUCUCAUCUCCUCGCGUUGGCGGACAUCCUUCUUUGCUGGGCCACGGCGACACGGACGUCUUCUAGUGAAUGGCCUGGGCUAUUGAAGUGUUGCGCUACGGGUAAGUCACUUUUCUUGUGUAGAACGUCGUGGCGUUGUUCCCUGAAACGGUCAGCCAAUCUGCGUCCUGUCUCCCCAAUGUAGACUGUCCUAGGAUAUUUACGGCAAGAAAUACAAUAAAUGACGUUAUCUGAAGUGCACGUGAAAUGCGUCAGGUCGCUUUCGGAAAGUGGAAGCGAUCGAGACCAGAAAAGAAA